rnacentral:lncRNA from 1 species
GUGAAAAUGUUAGAAAAAUUCAAGGUUGAGUUCUUGCUUCUCAAGGAUGCAAUAUGUCUUUUUUGUAUUAAUAAAUUGUAAUCCAGAUCCGGAAAGAAACUGCCAAAAUCCAAAUCACAGCCAGCUGGUGCCGGAACUUUCAAGGUUCCAUCACUACCAUACUGCCUCUUUCAUUCAUGCAUUUCAGGUUGACCAUGCUUCCGUGUAUGGUAUGACCGUCAAUAUUGCUGUCCUAUAAGUGUAAUUUAUCAAUCCAGCUUUAACUUAUAAUGACUGAAAGUCAAGAAAGUCAUUAUGAAUUCACGGUACAGAAAGACAGGCAUGCACAAAUGCACACAAAAGUAGAACAGCUAUUUAUGUUGUCCUCAUUCUACUUGUGUCUGUGUUUGCAUUCCUGACUUCCCGUACCACAGCAGCAUGUACUUGUCCUCUUUCAGUGUUCCUUUAAGAAUGAGUAAGCUACAAAAACACACCCAGACACAUUCGCCGGCAGUGCGCU